rnacentral:lncRNA from 1 species
UAUAUUUGUGUGUGUGUGUGUGUGUGUGUGUGUGUCUUACAGGUAAAAAACAUGCUCCCAAAGGUUGACAGGGAAAGGGUGGCCAACUUCAUGUGCCACAACAUCCAGACGGCAGACAAAUAUUAUGCCAUGAAUUUAAAUCCAACCCAAGCAAAUGAAACCAGGGCACUCUUUGAGGCUGCACUGAAGGGGGAAGAUAACACAGUCGCCGCAGAGAACCAGCCCUCCACCUCAGGAGAAAGAAAGCAGAAGGUGAGAGAGGAUGCCUCCCUCUCCGACAGGAGCACCACCCCUGAAGAGACCAAGGUGAUGUACCAGGAGUCUGGCACGUCCGCCGGUGACUCGGAAGAGGAGGAAGAGGAUGAAGAUGAGGAACAGAUGGCCAGACAACUUCCAGAGACACCUUCCAAGGUGACCAAUCCUCAGGUGGAGAUGGAACUUACCCCAAAGAGGAAGCGGAGCAUCUGCACACGCCGCAUGGAGGUCGCCAUCAGCCCCAUGCUAGUCUCACCCCUCAAAGUGAGGCUCAAGUCGCCCCCCCCACCAGUCCCUCAUUGUCACAUUAAAAGGGAUGCAACAACUAAACUCAAAUAA